rnacentral:rRNA from 1 species
AGGACGAACGCUGGCGGCGUGCUUAACACAUGCAAGUCGAGCGGUAAGGCCUUUCGGGGUACUCGAGCGGCGAACGGGUGAGUAACACGUGAGUAAUCUGCCUUCAGCUCUGGGAUAGCUCCGGGAAACCGGGAUUAAUACCGGAUAUGACCACUUCGGACAUCUGUUGUGGUGGAAAGUUUUUCGGCUGGAGAUGAGCUCGCGGCCUAUCAGCUUGUUGGUGGGUAAAGGCCUACCAAGGCGACGACGGGUA